AGUUUGAUCCUGGCUCAGAUUGAACGCUGGCGGCAGGCUUAACACAUGCAAGUCGAGCGGGGAAAAGUAGCUUGCUACUUUACCUAGCGGCGGACGGGUGAGUAAUGCUUAGGAAUCUGCCUAUUAGUGGGGGACAACAUUUCGAAAGGAAUGCUAAUACCGCAUACGUCCUACGGGAGAAAGCAGGGGACCUUCGGGCCUUGCGCUAAUAGAUGAGCCUAAGUCGGAUUAGCUAGUUGGUGGGGUAAAGGCCUACCAAGGCGACGAUCUGUAGCGGGUCUGAGAGGAUGAUCCGCCACACUGGGACUGAGACACGGCCCAGACUCCUACGGGAGGCAGCAGUGGGGAAUAUUGGACAAUGGGGGCAACCCUGAUCCAGCCAUGCCGCGUGUGUGAAGAAGGCCUUUUGGUUGUAAAGCACUUUAAGCGAGGAGGAGGCUACUUGGAUUAAUACUCUGAGAUAGUGGACGUUACUCGCAGAAUAAGCACCGGCUAACUCUGUG
rnacentral:rRNA from 1 species